GACGAACGCUGGCGGCGUGCUUAACACAUGCAAGUCGAACGAAGAGCGACGGAAGCUUGCUUCUAUCAAUCUUAGUGGCGAACGGGUGAGUAACGCGUAAUCAACCUGCCCUUCAGAGGGGGACAACAGUUGGAAACGACUGCUAAUACCGCAUACGAUCUAACCUCGGCAUCGAGGAUAGAUGAAAGGUGGCCUCUACAUGUAAGCUAUCACUGAAGGAGGGGAUUGCGUCUGAUUAGCUAGUUGGAGGGGUAACGGCCCACCAAGGCGAUGAUCAGUAGCCGGUCUGAGAGGAUGAACGGCCACAUUGGGACUGAGACACGGCCCAGACUCCUACGGGAGGCAGCAGUGGGGAAUCUUCCGCAAUGGACGAAAGUCUGACGGAGCAACGCCGCGUGAGUGAUGACGGCCUUCGGGUUGUAAGGCUCUGUUAAUCGGGACGAAAGGCCUUCUUGCGAAUAGUGAGAAGGAUUGACGGUACCGGAAUAGAAAGCCACGGCUAACUACGUG
rnacentral:rRNA from 1 species